rnacentral:rRNA from 1 species
CAUCUUAAUCCUUCACUAAUACUGAGUAAUUCUAUAUUCUUAUAGAAAAUUUUAUGUUAAAACUAGUAAUAAGAAGAAGAUUCUUCUCUUUAAUGUAAGUGUAAAUCAGAAAGGACAAACCACUGAUAUUUAACGUCACUGAGUUAGAAAUAAAAACUUAUCAAGAAAACUCUACUUCCAUCAACGUUAACCUAACACAAGAACAUUUCAAGAAAGAUUAAAAGAAAAAGAAGGAACUCGGCAAAUAUUAACCUCGCCUGUUUACCAAAAACAUCGCCUCUUGAAUACUCAUAAGAGGUCCAGCCUGCCCAGUGACCAUGUUCAACGGCCGCGGUAUCCUAACCGUGCGAAGGUAGCGUAAUCACUUGUUCUUUAAAUGAGGACUAGUAUGAAUGGCACCACGAAGGUUAUACUGUCUCCUUUUUCUAAUCAAUGAAACUAAUCUCCCCGUGAAGAAGCGGGGAUAAACCUAUAAGACGAGAAGACCCUAUGGAGCUUUAAACAACAUAGCACCUACCUUAUAACAUAAAAUUUCCCGAACACUUUGAAUUUUACUGGUAUACUGACUAUAAGUUUUUGGUUGGGGUGACCGAGGAGCAUAAUGCAACCUCCAUGUUGAAAGAUACUUAUUCUUAGCUAAGACCUACCAGUCUAAGCAUCAAUAUAUUGACAUCCAUUGACCCAAUAAAAUUGAACAACGAACCAAGUUACCCUAGGGAUAACAGCGCAAUCCACUUCAAGAGCUCCUAUCGACAAGUGGGUUUACGACCUCGAUGUUGGAUCAGGGUAUCCCAGUGGUGCAGCCGC